rnacentral:lncRNA from 13 species
CUCCUGGAACCCAAAUGACUUAUAUAAUUCAUUUCAUUUUAGUGAUAGAAAAGAAUGAACAUUAUUAACUUCUACUUUUCCCUAGGACAUAGAAUUCAAAAACUUUCCAUUGUGUGACUGAGACGCAAGAAGGAAGGGUGCUGUCAAAGUGCAACUUGAUAUUUUAAUUCACUAAAACUUACCAGGAGUUACCUAGGUUUCUGCAUAUUAUACCAGGAACUCUUAACACUGUGGUGAAAUGAGCUGGAAUAUCAGUCAAGAACCUUGGGAUGGAUGAUGAGAAGAUGUUAUUUCCCUGCUCCCUACCACAUAGCCCGUGUCAAU